AUGCAAGGAUGGCCUGCUAAGUUCGUCUCAUCCAUGAGACAACGCAUGCACUAGCACAUCCUGUGCG
rfam:Brevibacillus brevis NBRC 100599 DNA, complete genome.